rnacentral:rRNA from 1 species
CCGUGACUAAUAAUCAUGGUCAUGACGGUAUCAACAGAAGAAGCACCGGCUAACUACGUGCCAGCAGCCGCGGUAAUACGUAGGGUGCAAGCGUUAAUCGGAAUUACGUGGGCGUAAAGGGUGCGCAGGCGGUUCUGUAAGUCAGAUGUGAAAUCCCCGGGGCUUAAACCUGGGGAACUGCGUUUGAAACUGCAGAGCUAGAGUGCGGCAGAGGGAGGUGGAAUUCCAUGUGUAGCAGUGAAAUGCGUAGAGAUAUGGAAGAACAUCGAUGGCGAAGGCAACCUCCUGGGCUAGCACUGACGCUCAUGCACGAAAGCGUGGGGAGCAAACAGGAUUAGAUACCCUGGUAGUCCACGCCCUAAACUAUGUCAACUAGUUGUCGGGCCUUAAUAGGCUUGGUAACGUAGCUAACGCGUGAAGUUGACCGCCUGGGGAGUACGGUCGCAAGAUUAAAACUCAAAGGAAUUGACGGGGACCCGCACAAGCGGUGGAUUAUGUGGAUUAAUUCGAUGC